rnacentral:lncRNA from 1 species
AAGGAUUAUUAUUUUUCACUCCAUGAACAUAAGUACUGCGAUCAUGCAUUAUCACGGACAGCUUCUUCAUUCGAUGAAUUUGAUGGGUUAGGGAUAUAAGUUGAAGAAGAAACACUUUAAACAUAUUAAUCAUAUUUGCAAACAAAUAAAAGAAAAAGGAAAAGAAAUUGGUUGCCAAAUUCCAACACUUGCAAAAUAAAUUAACAAGCAAAAC